CGUUACCAGGCUUUGCAGAUGGAAGAAGGUGAAUACGGGACAAUGAAGACUUGAACAGGAAGUCACAACAGUCUUCAGGAGCGUGAGGAGAAUCAGCCUUUGCAUGCACAAAUAGAAACGACUUUGGACUAAAAAAACCAAGACAACUGGCCCUACAGGACGUCAGCCAAGAAGCAGUGAAAGAGGACUGUAGCGAUCAGCUGAUGAAGAUUGCCGUCAUCCAUCCGAAUGUGGCAGAGGAAAACCAAGAUCCUGUGUAUGUCUCGGUCAUCAUUGAGGGGACAGAAGUUCUGGAGGACUGCGGAAGUGUGACAAAUGCUUGCCUCUUGCUCAUGGGUGUCAUUUAUGCUGUCAACUUAAGGUAUCCAUUGAAAGUGAAAUAUAUGUUUGAAGUUUUUCAGAAGCUGUUUCUUGAGCGUGACAACCUUAAAAUGUCACCAAAGGUCCAGUCUCUCCGCAAGAAGCUUAUGUGUGUGAGUGUUCCAGUGUUUGAGUUUUUGUCUAGCACAAACAGUUUGAUAACAUUUUGUGUCUGUGAUUUCAAGUUUCAUGAAAGUUUUUGUCCCAUAAGUAGUUUUAAAAAUUUGUUAGUAGGAAGUUGUAUGGCCA
ensembl:lncRNA